CUUGUGGGUUGUCUCUGAUAUGAAGUACUUUCUCUUCUGAGAUCAGUUUAAAUAGCAGCACUCGCUGAGAAGUGAAAGUUUGUGGAGCAGAGCAGGCAGAACAGGAGGACCAGCUCACAGUGCUGACUCUCUUACUGCUGUUAUUACACUGUAACGGUAAGCGCUGUUUUUAUUCUCUCUCAACCUCACACACACACACACACACACACACACACACACACACGCACACACACACACACACGCUGUAGGACCUUUAAUAUUACUGUGCACUCUGUGAUGAUCUGAAAGCAGUGUUGUCUACAGAAAAAUAAGACAUUCCAAAAACACUAAUAAUAAUAAUAAUAAUAAUAAUAAUAAUAAUAAUAAUAAUAAUAAUAGGCCAGUAUUCAGAAGUUCUUCUGAUCUGUGUUUAAGAAUGUAGUGAUGGACAGAGGGUCCAGAGGUCUGAAGGGGUUAACAGUAUUAAAUUCUUUCACACUGAUUUCACUCACACCUUGUUUUGUGAACUGGGGCCGGUCAUCUGGGCUUAGGGAGAGACGUUUCUGAACUGCUUGCCAAAUCCAGGCUCAUCAGAGUAACUGUUCUCACCCCAGAGAACACGCCUCCAUUAGUCGAGUGGUGGCGUGCUUCACAUCACUACAUCCAACGCUUUCCAUUGUGUUUAAAAUGAUGUGUAAGACUUGAAUGGAGCUAUUAUUAUUUUCCUGUUUUCCAGUUGUAGUUUCCAGAAUGGUCCGGGCCCUGAUCUGGACGUGUCUUCUUCUGUGUGCGAUGGUUCAUAUCACAGUCUGUUUUAAUAAUGACAAAGAGAUUCACUGUCCUAACAUAACAGCUACUGUCGGAGAAAACGUAACACUGACCUGCAAUGUUUCAAAAAACGGCAAUUGUUCAAAGUAUAAAUGGAUUAAGAAUGAAACAAAAAACGGCACUUGUUCAAAGUAUAAAUGGAAGAAUGAAACAAAAAAUGAACUUGAAGUGAAAAAAUGCAGCUCAGUUAAUGAUAGAAAAUUUAAUUACACAAUUAAGAAUGCAUCCAUGACAGACAAUGGGACUUAUAAAUUUUGGAUACAGCUGACCACUAAUUCUCUUUACACAUUCUUCACUGUAAAUAUAUCAGGUACUUUUCCUUUAUAUUUAGAUAUGUAGAUAUGUCUGUGUUUGUGCAGUGCUAACUGUUAAAUAAUCACACUGUUUUGCUGUAUAAUGUUGUGCAGCUGUUUUACACUAAUGUGACAAAAGUCAUGAGACAGACAGACAGACACAUAGAUUUGCCUGUGGAUCAGUAAACUUUAAAAUAUUUUUUUACACUCACACAAUCACAUCUUUGUAUACAGAGGUAUCAAGUAAUGAAUUACAAAUACUUUAUCUUACUAAAGUAGAAAUGUUGUUUAUCUAUACUUUACUGGAGUAAAUACUUUUCCCAUGACUUUUUACAUUUACUCCUUACAUUUUCUUAAAAUCUUAAAAUAGUAUCAUUACUCUUAUUUAAUUUCAGCUUGUUUUCAUUCCGGCUUCUCAUCAUUAAAAACACAAACCUUAUCCAGAUAAAUCUCUCCAUCCAGAUAGAGUGAAUCUGAUUGUGAUUGGAUGUAGAGAAGUAUAAACAUAUACCAUUCUGACUCUCUAUUGGUUUAUACUGUGAUCCAUCACACCGGCACACGCCCCCACCCCCCCACACACACACCAUUUCAGCAAGAACGUAUGUAGCCUAGUAUGAAGAUGAUCUGUACAGAGACUUAGGAGAACUCCAGAUAAACUCCAGACCAACUAAACUACUUAAAUAUAUUAACAUUCUACUAAAAUACAUUCAUUUACAAUGAGCAUAUACUGAAACAGGGAGCCUAGCCUACUUUUCACACCUUUGCUCCUAUGCCCUGUUGGCCACAGUGUGUAGAUUAAAAUAGAUAAUCAUUGUUUCACCAUGGACGGUGGAUUAUGAGGUCUAACUGUUUGUUAAUAAUCCAGUGAAAGAAAGAUAAUUAUUGGCUUUUUCUUUCUUUAAUUCACAGAUAUUCCUUCCAAUAAUUCCACAGGUACAGUAUUUUCUCCAUUAUCUACUUCAUUAAUCACAUUCACAUUAAGAUGGGUAUCCCAUUUACAGUUAAUGGUAACACUUUAUAGUAUGGUAAAUAGUAAAUUACAUGAUAUUAAUUAAGGCAUUCAUUAGGGAUGAACUCAUCAGUAAGGGUGCAAUAAAAAGGAACAAAUGAAUGAAUCUUGUAUUAAU
rnacentral:lncRNA from 1 species